CCCCACCAUACCUCCUCCUUUAGUCUCAACUCCUGUGGCUCUGAUCAUGUCCUGUUUGUUCUGCCCCAGGUGAUUAUAGUACCCAGGGCUCUGAUUCAACUCUAAUGGCUCCUAAAGUGUGAGACCCGCUGCCUGUGGUGCACUGAGCGAUGCAGGAUCUGUUCACACUCCCACGUGGUGGCAUCGAGAUCCCUUGACUUUCUGCAGAUGGUGUCAGAAUGUGUCUGCGUUCCCAUUAGCAUAUUGUGAGGACACAGGAGACUGGCCCCCCCCCCGCCCACCAUGACCCCUCCCCAUACUGAUUCCUGUUCCCUUUCUGAUCUGCUUUCUUAUUCCAGCAGAGGUAGGGCUGGACUGUCUCCAUCCCUGUCUUCAUUUCAUGUUGGUCAGAGUAUUGUUGCCUUACUUCCCCACUGAAAAUGAGAAUCCAGAUAUGAAUUGUGUUUUGUAAUUCUUGGUAUGUGGGCAUGAUGAGGUAAUAAAAGAGAGGAUUUGUAUGGUUGGAACAAAAAAUAAAUGAAAGCCCUGAGAACCUCCCAGAA